rnacentral:rRNA from 1 species
AGAGUUUGAUCAUGGCUCAGAACGAACGCUGGCGGCGUGCCUAACACAUGCAAGUCGUGCGAGAAAGUUCCUUCGGGGACGAGUAAAGCGGCGCACGGGUGAGUAACACGUAGGUAACCUGCCCCACAGUCUGGAACAACUGGAGGAAACUUCAGCUAAUGCCGGAUAAGACCACGGCCCCUUCGGGAGCUGUGGCCAAAGAUGGCCUCUGCUUGCAAGCUAUCGCUGAGGGAUGGGCCUGCGGGUCAUUAGCUAGUUGGUGAGGUAACGGCUCACCAAGGCAGUGAUGACUAGCUGGUCUGAGAGGAUGACCAGCCACACUGGGACUGAGACACGGCCCAGACUCCUACGGGAGGCAGCAGUGGGGAAUAUUGCGCAAUGGACGAAAGUCUGACGCAGCGACGCCGCGUGGGUGAUGAAGGCCUUCGGGUCGUAAAGCCCUGUCGCAGGGGAAGAAUAAGCCUCGGGAUAAUACCCCGGGGCCCUGACGGUACCCUGUAAGAAAGCACCGGCUAACUCCGUGCCAGCAGCCGCGGUAAUACGGAGGGUGCAAGCGUUGUUCGGAAUUACUGGGCGUAAAGCGCGUGUAGGCGGCCGAUUAAGUCUGGUGUGAAAGCCCGGGGCUCACCCCCGGAAGUGCGCUGGAAACUGGUCGGCUAGAGUAUGGGAGAGGAAAGUGACUCCCGUGUAGCGUGAAAUGCGUAGAUAUCGGGAGGAACACAGCGGCGAGCGCUUUCUGACAUACUGACGCUGAAACGCGA